GAAAAGUGACGAAGUAAAUUUCAUAUAUUGUCCAAUUGAGUAUGAAAUGCUUUGUUUUAGCCUUAUUUUGGAAAUUGUUUUUCAUUGUUGAGGAUGAAAUUGCAUCAUUGAGAUCUUGGUUCGCACUUACUACGUGAAGAGUUGUCAUUUGCACCUUGGUGCAUUGAUUAUAAAACCUUUGUCUAUCAUGUUUUUGUGGUUCAUGGAAAGGUUAUUCCCUAUGGUAAACCUUAUGAGAAUUGGGACUGACAUAUUUUUUGUUCUGUUUUAGGUGCUUCAAGAAUUCAAAAUCU
rnacentral:misc_RNA from 1 species